GGGGGCGUAAAGGUUUCGACGGGAUCGUUGAAACCCAGGUAGCGGGUAGAGGAUUCUCGUUGGCCUCUUUAAAAAACGAGAACUUAAAAAUAAACGCUAAAAACGAUAAUUUCGCUUUAGCUGCUGCCUAAUAUAGGCAGCCCGUCAGUCCGGGGUUCCUGCACCUCGGGGAACUGGCGUCAUCAAGUCAGGCCUUCUGCGUGGGAAGGUUAAACGCCGGAACUGCCAAAGUGGUAGCCUUGAGCUUUGGCGGAAUAAAAGGCUACUGAAAGCAGUACCCUGCCUGUAGGGGACUGUCGUAGGGAACCGCCGGUCAUUGUCUCGCAAGGGAAACGUGACACGGCAGCAAAAUACAGGAUGCACCCGGAGAAGCUUGAGUGGAUAUGGUUUCGGACAGGGGUUCGAUUCCCCUCGCCUCCACCA
rnacentral:tmRNA from 1 species